rnacentral:rRNA from 1 species
GCUGGCGGCGUGCCUAAUACAUGCAAGUCGAGCGAACAGAUAAGGAGCUUGCUCCUUUGACGUUAGCGGCGGACGGGUGAGUAACACGUGGAUAACCUACCUAUAAGACUGGGAUAACUUCGGGAAACCGGAGCUAAUACCGGAUAACAUAUUGAACCGCAUGGUUCAAUAGUGAAAGGCGGCUUUGCUGUCACUUAUAGAUGGAUCCGCGCCGUAUUAGCUAGUUGGUAAGGUAACGGCUUACCAAGGCAACGAUACGUAGCCGACCUGAGAGGGUGAUCGGCCACACUGGAACUGAGACACGGUCCAGACUCCUACGGGAGGCAGCAGUAGGGAAUCUUCCGCAAUGGGCGAAAGCCUGACGGAGCAACGCCGCGUGAGUGAUGAAGGUCUUCGGAUCGUAAAACUCUGUUAUCAGGGAAGAACAAAUGUGUAAGUAACUGUGCACAUCUUGACGGUACCUGAUCAGAAAGCCACGGCUAACUACGUGCCAGCAGCCGCGGUAAUACGUAGGUGGCAAGCGUUAUCCGGAAUUAUUGGGCGUAAAGCGCGCGUAGGCGGUUUUUUAAGUCUGAUGUGAAAGCCCACGGCUCAACCGUGGAGGGUCAUUGGAAACUGGAAAACU